AGCCAUGCAUGUCUAAGUUCAAAUGGCCUUUAAAGGUGAAACCGCGAACGGCUCAUUAUAACAGCUAUUAUAUACUUGAUCUUGAUGUCCUACGUGGAUAACUGUGGUAAUUCUAGAGCUAAUACAUGCACCAAAGCUCCGAUUUUCUGACGAGCGCAUCUAUUAGAUUAAAACCAAUCGGGUUUCGGCCCGUAAAUUGGUGACUCUGAAUAACUGUAGCUGAUCGCAUGGUCCAGAACCGGCGACGUGUCUAUCAAGUGUCUGCCUUAUCAACUGUCGAUGGUAGUUUAUGUGCCUACCAUGGUUGUAACGGGUAACGGAGAAUAAGGGUUCGACUCCGGAGAGGGAGCCUGAGAAACGGCUACCACAUCCAAGGAAGGCAGCAGGCGCGCAAAUUACCCACUCUCGGCAUGAGGAGGUAGUGACGAAAAAUAACGAGACCGUUCUCUAUGAGGCCGGUUAUCGGAAUGGGUACAAUUUAAACCCGUUAACGAGGAUCUAUGAGAGGGCAAGUCUGGUGCCAGCAGCCGCGGUAAUUCCAGCUCUCAAAGUGUAUAUCGUCAUUGCUGCGGUUAAAAAGCUCGUAGUUGGAUCUGCGCCUCAGGACUUGGUCCGCCCACUGGGCGAGAACUGGGCUCCUGGGCUAGUUCUGCUGGUUUUCCCUACGUUGCCUUCAUCGGUCGCGUAGGGUGGCUAGCGAGUUUACUUUGAAAAAAUUAGAGUGCUUCACGCGGGCUUAUGUCUGAAUACUCGUGCAUGGAAUAAUAGAAUAGGAUCUCGGUUCUAUUUUGUUGGUUUUCUGAUCUGAGAUAAUGGUUAAGAGGGACGGACGGGGGGCAUUCGUAUCGCUGCGUGAGAGGUGAAAUUCUUGGACCGUAGCGAGACGUCCGACUGCGAAAGCAUUUGCCAAGAAUGUCUUCAUUAAUCAAGAACGAAAGUCAGAGGUUCGAAGGCGAUCAGAUACCGCCCUAGUUCUGACCGUAAACGAUACCAACUAGCGUUCCGUCGGCGGUAAAUACGCCUUGACGGGCAGCUUCCCGGAAACGAAAGUCUUUCGGUUCCGGGGGAAGUAUGGUUGCAAAGCUGAAACUUAAAGAAAUUGACGGAAGGGCACCACCAGGAGUGGAGCCUGCGGCUUAAUUUGACUCAACACGGGAAAACUCACCUGGCCCGGACACCGUGAGGAUUGACAGAUUGAGAGCUCUUUCUUGAUUCGGUGGUUGGUGGUGCAUGGCCGUUCUUAGUUGGUGGAGUGAUUUGUCUGGUUUAUUCCGAUAACGAGCGAGACUCUAGCCUACUAAAUAGUCAUCGGAUAAACAAGUGCGGAAGACUUCUUAGAGGGACAAGCGGUGUUCAGCCGCAUGAAGUUGAGCAAUAACAGGUCUGUGAUGCCCUUAGAUGUCCAGGGCUGCACGCGCGCUACACUGGAGGAAUCAGCGUGCUGUAACCAUUGCCGAAAGGUAUUGGUAACCCCUUGAAAAUCCUCCGUGAUCGGGAUCGGGAAUUGCAAUUAUUUCCCUUGAACGAGGAAUUCCUAGUAAGUGUGAGUCAUCAGCUCACGUUGAUUACGUCCCUGCCCUUUGUACACACCGCCCGUCGCUGCCCGGGACUGAGCCGUUUCGAGAAAAGCGGGGACUGCUGUUUCGAGACCUUCCGAGGUGGAGAUUCUUUGGUGGAAACCGCCUUAAUCGCAGUGGCUGAACCG
rnacentral:rRNA from 1 species